GGUGCAUGUGAGGGGGUGGAGGGGCAGCAUCCGGGGAUUCACUCCUUAACCCCCCAAAAAAGCCAAAGGAGAAGGGAUGGAGCUUGUAAAUAGAAGAGGUGGGAUUUUAGCCCUGGAAAGACCCGCCCACUAGCACCUCAAUUUGUACCACUGAGCUGAGGAUUCACUUGCUGGAGUCAAACAUCUCCUAAUCUGUGGAAACUGCAAACAAUCCUGUGUAACAGGUGCACUCUGAAAACAUGAGGGUUACUUUCCAUCUGAAAUAAAAAACUUGAAGAUGUUCCUUCUGGAGGAUCUGGGUGGUCCUUUCAGAGAUGGUCCCCACCAAUGGGAAAUUUUAACUAGUUUUCUAGGAUAACCAAUGAGGAAGGUAACUGGGAGGUUGAGACUGUGUCAGGAGAAGAGAUGGAGGUCGAAAGUUGGAGAUCUCAUUCCUGGAUCUUUCAGCUUGGCUGUUGCUGCCCCCUCCUGGUCUUUCCUCAAUUGCCUCCGUAUCACAAUCACGUUAUUUACAUCAGACAAAGCGCCAGAUUUAGCAAAAACAUUUUCCUGCCAAACUUCAUAUGUGAGAAAUGGUCACAGAAUAUUUUACCCGUCCUUCAAAAUUCUGAAUUUGUUCCUUGAAUUCUCCCACAGACUUUGCAGGAAUUUAAGAAUUUAAGAAUUUUGCGGGACCUAGCAAAAAUCAUGAUUUCCAAGAGAAAGUCCGAGGAGUUAUGCAAGUGAACAAAAAUCAGCACAAUUGUCAUAUUUGUGAAUAAAUUUGAAUAGGGUUUAUAUUUUACUCUUUUAAUGUCAUUUCCAUUCGGUUAUUGAGAGCUGAUUCACUCAAAAGUCACAGAUCAUAGAAUUUGAAUUUACAAACCUGUAAUCACAGAAAAAAACACAGUUUAGAAUUUGGACCAAACCUGAGCAAGAAUUUUUUCAAAAAAGUCUAAUUUCCAACACAAUUCUAUUUCAGCAGCUUUUGUUUUCUUAUAUCAUUGUGUUUCAGAGGAAUUUUGUCAGACCUAGCAAAAAUCAUGAUUUCUGAGGGAAAGGCCGAGGAGUUGGUAACAAAAAUCAGCACAAUUGUAAACAAAUAUUUGAAUAGGGUUUAUAUUUUACUCUUUUAAUGUCAUUUCCAUUUGGUUAUUGAGAGCUGAUUCACUCAAAAGUCAGAGAUGAUAGAAUUCGAAUUUAAAAACUUGUGAUCACAGAAAUAAAAACAGUUUUGAAUUAGGACCAAACCUGAGCAAGAAUUUAAAAAAAAGUCUAAUUUACAAAAUAAUUAUACUUCAACAGCUUUUGUUUUCUCAUAUAAUUGUAUUUUGGAAAAAUUAUGCCAGACCUAGCAAAAAUCAUGAUUUCCGGGAGAAAGGCCAAGGAGUUGGUAACAAAAAUUAGCACAAUUGUCAUAUUUGUCUACAAUUAUUUGAAUUUGGUUUAUAUUUUACUCUUUUGAUGUAAUUUCUAUUCUAUUAUUGAGAGCUGUUUCACUCAAAAGACAAAGAUCAUAGAAUUUGAAUUUAAAAACCUGUAUUCACAGAAAAAAACUGUUUAGAAUUUUGACCCAACCUGAGCAAGAAUUUAAAAAAAACUCUAAUUUCCAAAACAAUUCUACUGCAAAAACUUUUGUUUUCUCAUAUCAUCGUGUUUAGGAAAAAUGUAGCCAAACUCAGCAAAAAUCUUGUUUUCUAAGAGAAAGGCUGACUCAAAAGUCAGAGAUCACAGAUUUUGAAUUUAAUAAACUGUAAUCACAGAAAAAAAAACACAGUUUAGAAUUCUGACCUAAACCUAAGCCAGAAUUUAAAAAAGUUUAAUUUCAAUCUUCUAUUGUCUAUAAAGGCAGAAAAUAAAGAUUCAAGUCUUGGCAUCAAGGUAGAAUAAUGAAAGGAAAUGAUUGGUUGGUUACUAGGGGUUAUUGCACUAGUGAUAAUAUACAAGUAUCGAGGCCUCACGUUGCUUUACCCGUCACUGACCCUGAAAUCGGACACAACACCAGGUGGUGAGGCAGGAUUUGUAUAAAUAAAAAUAUACAGAGAAGGAAU